rnacentral:piRNA from 2 species
CAGGUCCUCAUGCUUGUCAUACAAGCAC